UACGAAGGGAGCUAGCGUUGUUCGGAAUCACUGGGCGUAAAGCGCACGUAGGCGGAUGUGUCAGUCAGGGGUGAAAUCCCGGAGCUCAACUUCGGAACUGCCUUUAAUACAGCACAUCUGGAGUCCGGAAGAGGUGGGUGGAAUUCCUAGUGUAGAGGUGAAAUUCGUAGAUAUUAGGAAGAACACCGGUGGCGAAGGCGGCCCACUGGUCCGGUACUGACGCUGAGGUGCGAAAGCGUGGGGAGCAAACAGG
rnacentral:rRNA from 1 species